UUGACCUCAAAUCAGGUAGGACUACCCGCUGAACUUAAGCAUAUCAAUAAGCGGAGGAAAAGAAACUAACAAGGAUUCCCCUAGUAACUGCGAGUGAAGCGGGAUAAGCUCAAAUUUGAAAUCUGGCAGUCUUUUUUUUCUUCUUUGGCUGUCCGAGUUGUAAUCUAGAGAAGUGCUACCUGCACUG
rnacentral:rRNA from 2 species